UCAGAAUUAUGCUUUUCAGCCUGUACCAUGG
rnacentral:piRNA from 1 species